UUACAGUGAGUGUUGUUAGAUGAUCAUUCCAUUUUACAGGGACUGUACUACAUGUAUUUGCACUGAAUGCAUUUAGCACCUUGAGCAUAUCUAUAUGGAUGGGUUUUGAGCGCACUAUAAAUAUAUAUUAUUAUUAUGAAAUUCUUUAAUAUUUAUGUACUGUGGGAAUAUUACACAAUCUGAUUCAAACCCAGAUCCUAUUUCGUUUCGUUUUUAUAGUUCAAAAUUUCGUUUUACUUGUCUUUACUACUCUAGGAUCUGGAAGAGUUGUUAUCAUUGACAUGUUCUGAAUGAUGUGAGGGAUUAGCUAAUGAAACGGUCAGUUACGUUUUGCACGGAACUGUGGGUAAUCCACUAGUAACAUCAAUGCUGAUUGGUUAAUCAAAUGUCUGACGCCAUAAGGUCAAAAGCUGCUCGUAUGCUCGUAUGACCUCUGACACGACCUAUCACUACAACUGGUCAGAUCUUCAUGUAGUACAGGCCUUCGAAAGUAUAAAAAAACGAAACGAAAUAUAUAGAUCUGUAUUUGAAUCAGAUUGGAAUUUACAUAACCUCGUAUUGUACUGUGCAAUACAUGUAUGUGAAAUGUUGUGUUGUGCAAGUGUACGUGGUUAGUGUGAAAUUUAAUUGUUAUAAUUGUAUAAUUGUUCAUAAACCAAAUAUUAAUAAUUUGUUGAGCAUUUACCCAUUCUCACAUUGUCCAAGUGAAAUAAAUACUGUGGAAAAGGCUAUCUGGUAAAAUUUUCUCCCUUUAUACUGCAGAACCACUGAAAUGAAAAUUACUAUUUCAUCAAGCUAAAUCAAGGGUGGUGGAUUGAGACAUGUAUGUGCAAACAGCCACAUGGCUAGUUAUUAUAUAAUCAACUGGGACAAUUUUGUGCCGACCAAAAUAUUUUAUUGUCAUAGUGGCAACAAUUUGAGUUGGAGCAGCUGUCUGUAUAUUUGAAAUUUGAUGAUGUGAUAAUGUACCAAAGAUGAAUGAAAGACAAAUGUAAAGGUAAACCGUUAGGACGUGUGAAAUUGUUGAAUAUGAAUUCUGGAUAUGCAAUCAUUAUUGAUAUUAUGUAGAGAUUUCUGUCUUGAUAGUGUGAAUAUGUACCAAAUGUAUCUAUGUAGAAUUUGGUAAAAUGCUGGGAUGUUUGAAAUAGUAGGAUAUGAAUUCAGGAUACUUUAAUUUUAUUGGUAUUAUAAUUUAUUACAUAACAUUUGUUCCUGUUGAUAACAUGAAAAUGUAUCAAAGAUGUAUGAAAGACAAUUUGUGUAAAAUUUACGCAAUGAUGUCAAAAUGUUGGUGUGUGUGUGUGUGAAAUAGUAGGUUUUGAAUUUAGUAUACGCAAGUUUAUUGGUAUUAUAGUUUAUUAUAAUUAGAUUUUUUCCUGUUGAUAAUGUGAUGAUGUACCAAAGAUAAAUAAAAGUCAAUCUAAUGGUACAUGUAUGUAGAAUUUAGGCAUUGAGUUAAAUUGUUAGCAUGUGUGAAAUAAUAGGAUACAAAUUGAAAUUACAUAGAAAUGUUUCCUUUGAAGAUUAGUUUUAUUAAAUAAGCUAAAUUGGAUUGAACAACAGGCAAAGGCCUAAAUAAGUUCUCUCUUGUGAAGAUGUACCAAAGAUGAAUAAAUGGCAACCAACGCAAUAAGGUAAAAUGUUAGAAUGUAUGAAAUAGUGAAUUAUGAAUUCAGGGUAUGCAAUUAGUAGAGAUAUUAUAUUUUAUUACAAAGAAUUUAUUAUUUAUAACAGUGAGCACACUUUUAUCUCAUUGAUUAGGUCAAUAGGAAUUCCAGUCUUUUAAGAUUAUUAAUUUAUAUAUUCUAGUCACUUUAACCCAAUACUAUUUAAAAUAUUAUAUGUUAUACAUUUCUUAUUAGAAAAUAAGCUUGUCCACUUUGUUUUUCUAUAGCACCGUGCAAAUGAUAAUAUUUCCAGUGCAUUCAAAGUGUGUCAAGUCCUUGGGACUGUAAGAAGAAUCAAGGGCCUGAGUAGUUGGAAAAAAUCCCAUGUCAGUUGGAAUUAGAAAAAAAGGGACUGGCACACCUUUAAAAUCAAAAUCACAAUAUAGUUUAUUCUUUAGUGAUGUUGCUUAAAACUCCAUUUUGUUUCUUGAGCUUCCACAUUUUAUUUAAAGGAGAACUCUAAUCAUUGCAGAUUUAAUAUAUUUUAUUCAUUUAGAGUACCGGGUCACUGUAAAGAAGUCGUUUGCGACUUUAAUUACUGUAAUUAAGAAAACCAGCUGUCCUUCAUUUUAAGGAUUUAGCCUUUUUAUUGGCUGAAAGUUAGAAUCUUAGUUCAAAUUUUAGGUCUUAGCCAGUGAAAAGACAGCAUGUUUUUUUGUGAAUAAGACCCUUGGAUUCUGGAAGGAUGUGGCUGUAGGUGAGUACAGUUAGAAAGUGUUUAGUUUAAACCAAAGAUCCUUGAAGCAUGUACAGCUCAUUUGUUUAUUAACUGUGAAAUAAGUUGUACCUUGUUAUUACGGGAAGCUAUUCACAUACUUGGGCAGUUUGAGGCAGUCUAAUGAACAGUUGUUUGGUCUGUCCAUGGAUACACAGGCAUCACUUUUCUCAAAAAUCUUCUUUAAGGAAAUGGGAAGUCAGUAUAUACAUGUACCAAAUGAUAAUAUCGGGUUAGAAAUACAAAAUUUUAAAAUCUGCAAAUAGGUUGGAGUUCCCCUUUAAGAAUAUCUAUUAUUUGCCUAAUAAAUGACUAAUGACACAGGGAAUUUAUCAAGAAAAUCCCAAAUUGAUUUAUCUUCAAUUUUUUAUUUGAAUUUAGAUAUGUGAAUGAAUCUAAUUGUAGUAAUUUAUUAUGUAUAGACAUAAAAGAUUAUUGAAACAAGA